UACGAAGGGGGCUAGCGUUGCUCGGAAUCACUGGGCGUAAAGCGCACGUAGGCGGCUUUCUAAGUCAGGGGUGAAAUCCUGGAGCUCAACUCCAGAACUGCCUUUGAUACUGGAAAGCUUGAGUCCGGAAGAGGUGAGUGGAACUCCUAGUGUAGAGGUGGAAUUCGUAGAUAUUAGGAAGAACACCAGUGGCGAAGGCGGCUCACUGGUCCGGUACUGACGCUGAGGUGCGAAAGCGUGGGGAGCAAACAGG
rnacentral:rRNA from 1 species